rnacentral:lncRNA from 1 species
GUCCUAAAUAGGAGCAACCCUGGGCCGCUAUCCUGUGAGGGUGGAGACGCUCCCCGCUCCCCGAGACUGGACAGACACCGAGAGGUGGAGCUGAGCUAAUACGAGGCUAAGGGAAUCCCAUGUAUUCCAGUUACCCUGAACUCCCGUACAGCAGAGGAUGCCCCCGAGCUUCGGAGCCACCAUCUCUUACUAGGAUUCCAGGAUCCCUUUCAAGGCUUCUACCUGGAGCAACUGCCCACAGUUCUGCCUUAAGAGUGCCUGAGAGACCUGGCAUCACAGCCUGCCCUCCAAAUCAUCACUCACUCUGCCAGGCACACCAGGUCUUCCUCCCCUUACUCGCCGCACCAAAGAAAUCAAAACCCAAACUGAGAAUACUAGAAAGCAUCACCGUACAGCACGGAAAGAAAUAAUGAAAACAAACCAACAGCCACACACUUGGACUCACCCAGACCCAGGAGCCAGGAGUGUGGGUGAUUGUCAAGUUUCGGGACAGGUCAGCUCUUGGCUGGCCCAUCCCUCCCUUCUUCCCUCUUUCUGGGACUUGAAUGGGGUAGAGAAUUCAGAUUCUCCUUGGGAAUCUCAGCCCUCCUGCCCCAUUACAUCCCACCCCUUCUGCUUAUGUAGAGGCAGACAGGGUAGAACAAGGAGCUCCCAGCCUCUAGGAGAGCCUACAUUCCCCCACAGGGAUUCCAGAGAGUUAGGUAAAAAUAUAUAUAGAGAGAUUUAGAUACUUUUUCAUCAUUUCUGUCUCUCCAAACAAAUAAAUAACGAGCAAGAGAA